rnacentral:rRNA from 1 species
CAGCAGCCGCGGGAAUAUGUAGGUGGCAAGCGUUGUCCGGAAUUAUUGGGCGUAAAGGGCUCGCAGGCGGUUUCUUAAGUCUGACGUGAAAGCCCCCGGCUCAACCGGGGAGGGUCAUUGGAAACUGGGAAACUUGAGUGCAGAAGAGGAGAGUGGAAUUCCACGUGUAGCGGUGAAAUGCGUAGAGAUGUGGAGGAACACCAGUGGCGAAGGCGACUCUCUGGUCUGUAACUGACGCUGAGGAGCGAAAGCGUGGGGAGCGAACAGGAUUAGAUACCCCCGUAGUCCCUGUCUCUUAUAC